rnacentral:rRNA from 1 species
UACGGAGGGAGCUAGCGUUGUUCGGAAUUACUGGGCGUAAAGCGCGCGUAGGCGGCUUUGUAAGUUAGAGGUGAAAGCCCGGGGGUCAACCCCGGAACUGCCUUUAAGACUGCAUCGCUUGAAUCCGGGAGAGGUGAGUGGAAUUCCGAGUGUAGAGGUGAAAUUCGUAGAUAUUCGGAAGAACACCAGUGGCGAAGGCGGCUCACUGGACCGGUAUUGACGCUGAUGUGCGAAAGCGUGGGGAGCAAACAGG